rnacentral:lncRNA from 10 species
GCUCAAAUGAUUCUCCUGCCUUGGUCCCCAAAAUGCUGGGAUUAUAGGCAUGAGCCACUUCGCUCUGCCUUGACUGUUUUUGAUGGAAUAUUCUCAAGUAGAUUACAUGCUGUGGCAUCUUAAACAGAGCACUGUGAACCAAAUGUACCCUUGGGUGCUGCCACUGAGCAUGCUGGGCUUGCCCUUGCCCGCCUUCUGCAGGACCUUAUGUGUUAUUUUCUCAGUGUUGUCAGCCUGCCUGUUUCCAUGGCCACCUUCCCUCUGUUUCUGCUCACUCCUGGUCUGAUAGGGAAAUGCCGUCUGAGUUCUUUUGGAUGCCUCGGGUGUGCCUGCUUUGACACCCUUCUGCCAACUGGCUUUGUGGCUGGAGGUGUCACAGCGGUGGCCACAUGGAUAACUGUCAGUGAAGUGUGGCUUCCUGGGUGGAUGGGGCCUUGGGAGGUCACACAGAAUGUUGUCAGGAUUGACAGGGAGGGCUUCGAAGAGGAGAGACUUGAGCAGUGUGUGCAGGGCAAAUGGGCUCAAAUAUGCAGGGAAGGGGGCAAGGGGCACUGGCAGGGACAGGGGACCAGAUGAGUGGGGCCACCGUGGUGAGUGUGGGAGUGAGGGGCCUGAAGAUGAUGAAAUCCCCUUGAAGUGGUGUGAGGUUAGUGAGUACUUUCACUGUCAGCCUCAGCCCCAGCCCUGAAGGCAUCUAGGCUGGCAGAAAAUUACAUUAGUAAUGAGAAGUUUAUUAACAAUAUAAUUGGGUUAAUCUCAUCAUUUUUAGUCAGGAUUCUUUGGGUUGCAAGUGACAGUGACCCACCCCACACCGUUGGUUCACAAAAUAAAGGAAAGGAGGGCCAGCAGAGCCCAGGAUGGGGAGGGCUGUGGCCGGUCUGCAGGACAACUGGGCUCAGCGACCUGGGUAUCACCAGG